rnacentral:rRNA from 1 species
CCCUUAGAUGUUCUGGGCCGCACGCGUGCUACACUGAGUAAUUCAAUGGGUAAGGGAACGCUAGAGCAUUACCUAAUCUUGAAAUUUGCUCGUGAUGGGGAUCGACGGUUGCAAUUUUCCGUCGUGAACGAGGAAUACCUUGUAGGCGCAUGUCAUCAUCAUGCGCCGAAUACGUCCCUGCCCUUUGUACACACCGCCCGUCGCUCCUACCGAUUGAGUGAUCCGGUGAGGCUCUGGGACCUGGACGGAAAGAGCGUUUCGCUUGUUCUGUUUGGGAAACUUGGUCGAACCUUAUCAUAUAGAGGAAGGAGAAGUCGUAACA